AUUGAACGCUGGCGGCAUGCUUUACACAUGCAAGUCGAACGGUAACAGGCCGCAAGGUGCUGACGAGUGGCGAACGGGUGAGUAAUGCAUCGGAACGUGCCCAGUCGUGGGGGAUAACGCAGCGAAAGCUGUGCUAAUACCGCAUACGAUCUAUGGAUGAAAGCGGGGGACCGUAAGGCCUCGCGCGAUUGGAGCGGCCGAUGUCAGAUUAGGUAGUUGGUGGGGUAAAGGCCCACCAAGCCGACGAUCUGUAGCUGGUCUGAGAGGACGACCAGCCACACUGGGACUGAGACACGGCCCAGACUCCUACGGGAGGCAGCAGUGGGGAAUUUUGGACAAUGGGCGCAAGCCUGAUCCAGCAAUGCCGCGUGCAGGAAGAAGGCCUUCGGGUUGUAAACUGCUUUUGUACGGAACGAAACGGUCUGGGUUAAUACCCUGGGCUAAUGACGGUACCGUAAGAAUAAGCACCGGCUAACUACGUGCCAGCAGCCGCCGUAACAC
rnacentral:rRNA from 1 species